AAUGGCAAACCACUCCAGAAUCUUUGCCAAGAAAAUUCCAAAUGGGGUCAGACAUACAUAACUGAAAAUAACGGAACAACAACAGUCCACCCCCACUGCCAAUGCUAGAAUCUUAUACUCUAUGCAGCCAAAAGUGAUAGAGUAUAUUCUUAAAUCAGAAACUCUCUGGGUGACCUCCCUCAUAAGCAGAAUGCCAUUUGUGGUCAGGAAAACUUCAUGGAGAAAGAGAUCUUGAACCAGACUAACUGAACUAGACUCACUCAUCUGUCGCUGAGAUUACAAAAUGCAGCCUAUGAUACAAGGAUUCCACCAGGACAGUAGAUCUGACAGAAGAAGGCAGUCUGUUUUCAUUUCAUUAAAUUCUGCAUUGGAGAAUGGACUAGGCAACCAGCUGUUAAUAUGCAAAGACCAGGGAGAAACAAGUCAGCAUUCCAGAAGCAGAGAGGAAGAUAGCAGAUGCAAAGGGUCUGGAGUCUUGGACCUGGAGAUUGGCCAGAAGCAAGAGACACUAACAGUGCCUGUAUUUGGAAAGAUUUGCUUUAAAGACCCAGAGCUGCCUGGUUCUUGAAGGAGCUUGACAAGUCAGCUCUGAUAGUGAUAACAAAGUCUACUCCCAAAACAACAUCUCUUUUCCCUGGAGAGCAAUCUGACACACAGAAUUAUUG
rnacentral:lncRNA from 1 species